rnacentral:lncRNA from 1 species
CAGAAUAUAACACUGAUGGUUAUUUUACAGAUAAACAUCGUCAAUGUUUUAUCAAUAUGUUUAUAUACCGUUCUACAGAAAAAGUAAUUCCGUGGUAAUCUGAUCUGUACAGUGCAUUACUGAACAGCCGUAGAUAAAUGUUAUAAGCAUAUUAAACCUGUUGCAGUGCCAACGCGUGUAUACAUACUGUGCUAAUAUAUACGUUAAUUAUUUCAAGGUUUGGGAUUUAUGAGAUCUAAUUAUUGGUCAUAAGAGGGACAUACGAUAGUGAUUUUUUUUCGGAAUCAUUUCGAGAGUUAGAUGUGUUUGACCCGCUGCUUUUCGUGACCUCUUAGGAAUUUUUAUUGGAAUUUAGUAAUUUAUAUAUAUGGCGUUCUGAAUGGGAUGUAAUUAUUGUUUCCGAAGCUUUAUUUUGUGUGUGUAAUUUUUGUUGACAUGGCUGACGUUGAAGAACCAAAAGAUAGUCGUUUUGAUGACGUUGACCUUGAGAGUAUUUUAGCAAGGGUGGAAAGACGAGGACCUUUGACCUUUACUAGGAAGCGAUGCUUAUACAGAGGUA